rnacentral:ncRNA from 1 species
UUAUAUCUUUUUGGGGCUAAUUUGCAAGUAUCUCAUAAUAUCACACAAUUAAGGUAGGUAGUAUCACUUUACAAUCACUAUUAGUGGAUAGGGGUGAGACUUUUCUAUAUAAGAACGUGCCAGCAUAGGCGGUCAAACUUUCGGAAUAGUAAAUUUGACAGUUGAAAAAAAAACAACUUAAUAAGAUAGUGAAAUGUUCGUAUUGGUAAGUUAUGAAGGAUCUGCUAUAAACUAGGAUUAGAUACCCUACUAUAGAUCUGAUAAUAAAAUUCAGAGUAGAUAAUAUUUUUAUUGAAAAGAGAAGAGAGGUGGUGGUUAUAUAAGCUCUUGGAUGUACAUGUACUUAUCGAAAAUGCACGAUAAUCUUUCUUGUAAUUUCUUACACACCGCCGUCGGAAGAACCUUUGGUUCUCUAUCCUUUAAAGGAAAUAAGUCAGGCCAAGGCGUAGAAUAAACAAGUGCCUAUGUGUAUCAUUAUGAAUUUAUAAAAGCUACUGGAAUCAGUAGCUUAAAUAGAAUUCAAAAGUAAACUAAUAAAAUCAACAUAGUUGAAUUGUCUCUUUAUAACAUACAGAUUGCCCGUCAAUCCGUUAGAUGGAUAAGUCGAAACAAAGUUGAUGUACUGGAAAGUGUAUCAUAAUCAUA